GGCUUGCUGCGUCCAGCAGGCGUUCACAGCGGCAUUGAAAGUGCUGAGACUCAGCCUUGCUCAAGAGGAGAGAGGGAUGGCAGCCUUGUUGAAGGGAGUGAGAAAGCAGCGCUCCGGUCUUCGGCAGCACUUUGGCGGCGGGUCCUUCACUUGCUCCGGGUCUUCGGUGGCAUUUUGGCAAUGGGUCCUUCACUUGCUCCGGGUCUUCAGCGGCAUUUCGGUGACUGGUCCUUCAUUGCUGCGGAAGACCCAGAGUGAAAACCCAGAGCACCGCUGGGUAGGUCAAUGCCCAUAGACAGAAGCAUCACUAGCAUGACUGUUUUGAUGAGAGAAAACUUGCAAACCUUUUCGGAGGCAAGUGUUCUGUUGCCUGCAAUGAAGUGCAGAGAGCUUCCAGGAUUGCAUUAAUUUUGGUUUAACUUCAACACUUUGUGUGUGUGUAUGUGUGCAUACAGGCCCAUUAUUUGACAAAUGAAUUUACCUCACACAUCUGCCAUACAGAGUCUGCAAAUCUGGGUUCUUAAAGAUGGGUAAAUCAAGUUUCUAGGCUGAGAAGUGAUGAGAAGAACUGCUGUUUGAAACAGUAUUACAGAUGCUAACACGAUGAUUUACCUAUAUUGUAUUUUACUUUUCAAACCUGAUUUUAAAUGUCAGUGUGAAUUGGUUUUCAAAGCUAGCUCUGUUGUUUUGGGUUACUUGUUGGGACAUGCCCCUGAGGUGGGCGAUUAGAAUGUGAGAUUGCACAGAAAGUGCUGAAGCUUAGAAGCACAUGAAAGGGAUUUUGCCCUUUGUCCUUUGGUUUAUCCUUUCUAGAGAUUGAGCAAACCCCAAUAUGAUUAUCAUUUAUUGCAGAUUAAGCACAUAUUGUUCAACACGAUGAACUCCAUGGAGCCCCAGGUGUAGCACGAAGAAAUACUUCCAAGGGAUAGCUUUUCUUUAUGCUUCUGCACAACUAUCUUCUAUUUCUAUUUCAAGUAGAUUUGCACAUGGCUAAUUUAAAACCCCAAAAGAUUUUUUUUUCAAAAAAGAAUAAAAGAUUAGGCCAAGAUGAUGAGUUUUAUAAUUCUUCUAAAGGUCAUAAAUAUGCUGGCCAUUGUAUAGACCUUGCCGAGUCUCUGUGUAUAGAGAAGCUACCCAAGGGAUGGAGAAGCUUUGCUGCAAACGGGGGGUGAAGGGGAAUUCCAGGAUGAAAGGUGCUGUGCUCUGAUCCUGUUUAAAAAAUUAAAAAUGGCUAAUUUACAAUGAUGAGCGAGUCCUGACAACCAUGAAACCCCCUGCUCUGACAACAAAAAGCAUUUCAUUCUCGCAUUUAGUGCAAAGCCAUUUUCUGCCUAGUACCUGUGCUGGUGGCAGCAUGACACAGCUGGGAAACUUGCUCUAGUUACCUAUAAAGAGCUUUCCCAAUAUUCAAACGAACCUGCUCUGGUUAGUUACAAUGCAAUGAUCACAUUUAAUUUAGAUUUUGAAUAUAUGGUAUUGCCUUUGCACAUGUUGCUUUUGGAUUCUGGGACAGAAUAAAGCCCCAUUUAGUGUUCAGAGGGCCUACCACAUACACAGACACUCUAGUCUGAUCAGAAAUGUAAUGCUAACUAUAAUCAUGUGUAUGUAUCUGCUUUGGAUACACGUGUGUUAUAGCACUCUCUCCUAGAUGUGUUUAUAUUAAAGGCUGGUUUUUAUUUUAAUAACUGUCAAAAAUAGGUUGCAGAGUAAAGGUAGUGGCCUAGGACUGCAUAUGAGGCUCAAAGAGCACAAAUGGGCUGGGCUUUGAAGGCAGAAAAGGAGAAACUUGAAUUUGGUGUUUUUUUUAUUUUGUGUGCUGUGCAUUUGCAAGGUGCUGUGCAUCUUGUGGAAGUGAUGGCAGGACUGAGCCUCCAGUGUAUAGGUGACAAGUAAAAGGGACAUUUUAUUAAGUAACAAAAUACAUUAAAAAUAAAGCAAAUGACAGGAUUUAAAGUGAAAAGAGGAGAGUUUGUGACAAGUUGACAAGACCAUUCAGUGCAGUGGGUUCUCUUCAUAGCUAACAUGAAUUUCAGAUCUGAAUACAUUUGUAGUUCUGCUGUGAAUUUGUGCUAAGCAGAAAAGUGAAUGUCCAGUGAUAUUUAUCUCUAUCUUUUCAAUUUUUGAUUAAAUACAAUAAAAUGGGUUUUAAAUGCCCUUGCUCACUUCAGCCUUAGAAAUAAUGUGUGAGACUCUAACACAGGGUCCAUUAGCAAAACUUAGUAAUUUUCUAAAAUUAAUUUUUAAUGAUGAAUGUCUUGUUUUCAGUUGUUAUAUAAAACAUCCUUUGUUUAAAACACA